rnacentral:rRNA from 1 species
UACGAAGGGGGCUAGCGUUGCUCGGAAUCACUGGGCGUAAAGGGUGCGUAGGCGGGUUUUUAAGUCAGAGGUGAAAUCCUGGAGCUCAACUCCAGAACUGCCUUUGAUACUGAAAAUCUUGAGUAUGGGAGAGGUGAGUGGAACUGCGAGUGUAGAGGUGAAAUUCGUAGAUAUUCGCAAGAACACCAGUGGCGAAGGCGGCUCACUGGCCCAUAACUGACGCUGAGGCACGAAGGCGUGGGGAGCGAACGGG